GUCCUCUGUCCGCAAGACGAGAUACGCCCCGGUAGUGCUCUCGGUUUGGCGUGUCGUCCCCAAAGAUGAAACGGCUUCGUCUCGUAGGUAGCAGCACCGCACACCAACGAGCUCCGGCGAACUGGAACGAGGCGAGAACAGAACUUUACGAUGCAGAGUGCAGCAGAGUAAGAGUGUAAUGCUUGUUUUCAGGUGGUGAAUGAUGCAUGGAGGCUGUCCUAUAUAUAGGCACAGUCCACAUCAAUGGGGGAGCCUACGGGAUUAAUACCAUUGAUGGUAUUCAAAUGGUGUCGGG
rnacentral:lncRNA from 1 species